rnacentral:rRNA from 1 species
UACGUAGGGCGCAAGCGUUAUCCGGAAUUAUUGGGCGUAAAGAGCUCGUAGGCGGUGUGUCGCGUCGGCCGUGAAAAACCUGCAGCUUAACUGUGGGCUUGCGGUCGAUACGGGCAUCACUGGAGUUCGGCAGGGGGAGACUGGAAUUCCUGGUGUAGCGGUGAAAUGCGCAGAUAUCAGGAGGAACACCGGUGGCGAAGGCGGUUGCCUGGAGCUUUGCUGACGCUGAGGCGCGAAAGCGUGGGGAGCGAUCCGG